rnacentral:rRNA from 1 species
GACGUAGGGCGCGAGCGUUGUCCGGAUUUAUUGGGCGUAAAGAGCUCGUAGGCGGCUUGUCGCGUCGAUCGUGAAAACUUGUGGCUCAACUACAAGCUGGCGGUCGAUACGGGCAGGCUGGAGUUCGGUAGGGGAGACUGGAAUUCCUGGUGUAGCGGUGAAAUGCGCAGAUAUCAGGGAAGGAACACCCGGGUGGCGAAGGCGGGUCUCUGGGCCGAAUACUGACGCUGAGGCGCGAAGGCGUGGGGAGCGAACGGG